CACCUAGAGUGUGGGAAUGUGUCCCUUACCAUCUUGGCUAAUCACCAUUGAUGGACUGAUCCCUCAUGAAUUUAUCUAAUUCUUUUUGAACCCAGUAAGGGUAUUGGCCUUCACAACACCCUCUGGCAAGAAGUUCCAGAGGUCGACAGCACGUUGCAUGAAAAAAUACUU